rnacentral:rRNA from 1 species
AGAUUGAACGCUGGCGGCAUGCCUUACACAUGCAAGUCGAACGGUAGAGUAGCAAUACUUGAGAGUGGCGAACGGGUGAGUAAUAUAUCGGAACGUGCCCAGUCGUGGGGGAUAACGUAGAGAAAUUUACGCUAAUACCGCAUACGAUCUAAGGAUGAAAGCGGGGGACCGUAAGGCCUCGCGCGAUUGGAGCGGCUGAUAUCAGAUUAGGUUGUUGGUGAGGUAAAAGCUCACCAAGCCGACGAUCUGUAGCUGGUUUGAGAGAACGACCAGCCACACUGGGACUGAGACACGGCCCAGACUCCUACGGGAGGCAGCAGUGGGAAUUUGGACAAUGGCGAAAGCCUGAUCCAGCAAUGACCGCGUGCAGGAAGAAGGCCUUCGGUGUAAACUGCUUUUGUACGGAACGAACGGUCUGCUUUAAUACAGUGGCUAUGACGUACGUAAGAAUAAGCACGGCUAACUACGU